CUCUCUCUCUCCCUCUCUGUGCAAUUUCAGCUUUCAGGGUCUGAUGAAUCAUGAUGAAUGGAGGUCGCACGUUUUGUUGCGUUCCUGGUAAUGAAAUUGGAAGAUAUGGGAUUUGCUUCUUUUGGGUGUGAUUCUGGGUGGGAAUUCGUUCCUGGGUGUUUCUGGAAUUUUGUUAGCUAAAUGCAGUUUUACUACAGCAUGACUUGAGUUGGUAGGAAACAGUUAUGCAAAGAUUCCUCGGGCUUUUUGAUGCUGGAGUAGUUGCCUUUGCGAGUAUGGAUUCAAUUAGGAGUUUUAGUUUGAUGGGUGUGAUGAAAACAUUCGUUUUCUCGUGCGGCAAAGUGCAAAAUGUUUGGUGGACUGUGCUGUUUGGAGAGGUACGGUGGAACGUGGUCUAGGAAAUGAAUCUUUCUGAGGAUGGAUACUAUUUCGUGCCUUUACUUCGCUGUUGUGCCGGUCGAUCAAUGAAGUCAUGUUAAGACCGCACGUUCGCCCUGAGAAAUUUGAUCGGUUGCUGAAAGUUCCGGCAUGGUAUAGUUGGUUUUAGUUGGCCAUGAAGUAUAAAUAUCUUGAGUGGUUUCAACCCUUGAGCUGACUUGCCCUUCCAUCUUUUGGGUAUUCACAACAGUAAAGCAAGUUAGGGAAUGUUAUAUUGGAUGAGGGGCCUCAUUCUCUUGAGGCCACUCGUGAACCGCCAUUAAGUAGAUUUUAGAUCUUCUCCUAGUGUGCUUGCUGCAUGGUUUGGUUCGUGGUUGACAUGAGAGCAAGGAUUCGAGGAAACAAGGGCUACUGACUGCUGUUCUUGCAGUUGUUAUGCCAACAUGUGAAAUAUUUGAUGUAAGAGGACCUCCAUUCAUGAUGUCUGAUUGGGGCUUGGUUGGAUCUGAAGACGGCUAAUAUCGUCGAAUUCCUUUUUUACUGCCAUAUUUCUUUUCUUUAUUGUCUUGCUAAUUGUAAGUCACUAGCUUCAUUUUUUUUGGGGGGGAAGUUGCUUUAUAGGAGGCAUAGGAAGACUGCUGAACUUGGUGAUCAUAUCUCAUUAUAUAUCAACGAUUCAGUGGUUUAUUUCUUA